rnacentral:lncRNA from 10 species
GUGGUGGGCUCCACCCAGUUGGAGCUUCCCAGCUGCUUUGUUUACCUCAGCAAGCCUGGGCAAUGGCGGGCGCCCCUCCCCCAGCCUCGCUGCCGCCUUGCAGUUUGAUCUCAGACUGCUGUGCUGGCAAUCAGCAAGACUCCGUGGGCGUGGGACCCUCCGAGCCAGGUGCGGGAUAUAGUCUCGCGGUGCGCCGUUUUUUAAGCCCGUCGGAAAAGCGCAAUAUUCGGGUGGGAGUGACUCGAUUUUCCAGGUGCCUCCGUCACCCCUUUCUUUGACUCGGAAAGGGAACUCCCUGACCCCUUGCGCUUCCCAAGUGAGGCAAUGCCUCACCCUGCUUCGGCUCGCCCCUGGUGCGCGCACCCACUGACCUGCGCCCACUGUCUGGCACUCCCUAGUGAGAUGAACCCGGUACCUCAGAUGGAAAUGCAGAAAUCACCCGUCUUCUGCGUCGCUCACGCUGGGAGCUGUAGACCGGAGCUGUUCCUAUUCGGCCAUCUUGGCUCCUCCACCAGAAAUGAUGUAGCUUCUAUCAGGAAUCUGGUAGCAAUGCAAAGCUAAGGCACUGUGCUAAGUUGGACUUACAGAGAUGAAUAAGAUUUGGCCACAUCUUCAAGGAGCUCAGACCUUCAUGGACGUACCAAAUAUAUACAGAACUAACUCUACUGCUUAUCAUAAUGAGAGCUGUGCUAUGGAUAUUUGAAAGUUAGAGAGAUUUAUUUUCAACAGAAUAAUAAAGUCAACUUUCACAAACUGGUGACAGAUGAUCUGGGCCUUGCAGACAGGGGAGGACUGACAGAUUGAGAAGAGUAUUUGGUUAAAAACGGAUCAUAAACUGGUAUAAAUAUCUAAACAAACUCAUGAGAAUGAGCAGAGUCAGACACAAUAAAAUAAUUCAAAGAUAUAUCAGAUAAACCUGGACCCAAAAGUCAUGACUUUUUCUUUUCAGUUAACUCUGAACAAUUUACAAUAACUUCCUCAAUUAUUGUUUGUCUCAUUUUAACAUUUUGUAAUAACACCUAUGUCUCCAUAUUGGUAUGAAGAUUAAAUGAAAAUACAUCUAUGUUAGAUAGUCCCUAAGUUUCUGUCCCUGAUAUAAGUCCACCCUCCCCACCAUCAUGUGAUCACACGCAGGUGCACAUGCACAGAUGUAUACAUGCAUGCCGUUAUGGGGACAGUAAUUGCAAAUAUCAAUACUGUUAUGGUUGUUACUUCAGCCAUUGCACAAGUGUAGACCUCUGGAUCAACACACAUACGUAUGUGUAUGUGUAACAAAUAUAUGGCUAAUAAUGCAUAGGUUUCAUAGCUAUACCUUGAAAUCAAUUUAUUAAAGGGAUGUGUCCUUCCCAUGCUGACUCACCUACUGCGGCCCAAAAGCAACAACGUAAACUGCCCUGGAUAAAACAUCUGCAGACAAGAGAUCUCUAAGCUAAGCUACAGCUUCAUCAAGCAUGGAGUUAUCUCAUUUCAUAGCUUCACACACACAAAGGCGCGCGCACACACACACACACACACACACAGCUCUCAGCUGGAGACCGUCAGGGAAAACAAGUACCAGUGAGACCUGGGGAUCUUCAUUUGAUUUUGUCUACUGGGUGAGGCUGUGUUGAAAACACUUUGACAGAGGGCUCUUCUCUUGGGGCUCAUCAAAUAUUGCUGGUAGAGGGUUUGCUUGCUUUAAAUAUUCCUUUCCUCAGGUAACGAAGAAUACCAUGUAAUUUGUAAUGAUAACUUGGAUAAUGAAUGCACACUGUAGUCAGCCAUUACCAGUGGUAAUUGGUCUUCCUUUCAUCUCCUGUCAAGCAGAGUGGUUAGGAUUAGGACCAAAAGGCAGCUAUCAUCUCUCUCAUUUCCUGACUCAGACAAAAGGCAAAAAAAAAAAGGUGCCUGCUUGUGCUGAUAGGUGUCUGAUCAAAGCGGCUGAAAGCUGUCAGAAGCCAGCCAGCCUCAGCACCUGACUACUCCUUAAUGCAGCUUUGCCUUUGAUGUACAGGCAGUCCAACCGGGGUUCUAUUUAUGUAAAAAAAAAUAAUCAGGAUUGUAAUAGAACAGGAGAAAGUGUCAUUUUCUAUUUUGAUUCCAGUUUUGCAGUCUGACACCUAUAGGAAAUGUGGACUAAUUCUGUCCAGAGUAUGGUGUGUGUGUGUGUGUGUGUGUGUGUGUGUGUGUGUGUGUGUGUAACUCAAUAAAAUAAAAUAUCUUUGAAACUUCAUCAAAUACAUUUGGCAGUGAGCAGAAGUUAGAUUGCUGGUAGAAAGAAAUUAUCCUUCUUGGAAAGUAAAAAAAAAAUGCUUAAGUAAAAUUGCAGCAGUUUUGACAUGUGUAUUUUAUGUUUCAGAAAUUCUACAGGUUAUAGGUUUAUAAAUGGAGAACUGGUCUUGGAUUUAAAUGAAUUGGCAUCGUAUCUCAGACUUCUAGCUUUCUACCCAUGUGAAUUUAGGUGCGUACUAAUCACAUAUGUGUUUUAAGUUUAUCACUGGCUAUAUACAUGGUUACUUUUGUAUAUGCCUGUGCAUUGAAUGAAAAUACCUGGCAUGUGGUUGUUAUAAGCAAUAGACAGUUUUUGGCCAGAGAGCCAGGCAGACAAGUGUUAAUAUCACUUAAGCCCUCUGUGUCUCAAGUUCAAAAUUUCUAAAAUGAGUGAAUAUAAUAUUUGUUUGAAUUAAAGUAUACAAAGCAUGUAUCUCAGUGUCUAAGACAUUGUAAGACACCAAUAAAUGUCCAGUAUUUCUGUUGUUGUUGGUAUUUAUUUUUUAUUAAGGGAUUCUUGAAUUAAUACACCAUCCCUAGGGAAUUGCUGCCCUGUUUUCCUCAGCACUGUGAGCUUCUCCACGAACAAGACCGCUGUCUUUUAUGUCUGGGAUAGUUUGUUGAAUGAGU